GACGAACGCUGGCGGCGUGCCUAAUACAUGCCAGUAGAACGCACAGUUUAUACCGUAGCUUGCUACACCAUACACUGUGAGUUGCGAACGGGUGAGUAACGCGUAGGUAACCUGCCUGGUAGCGGGGGAUAACUAUUGGAAACGAUAGCUAAUACCGCAUAAUAUUAAUUAUUGCAUGAUAAUUGAUUGAAAGAUGCAAUUGCAUCACUACCAGAUGGACCUGCGUUGUAUUAGCUAGUAGGUGAGGUAACGGCUCACCUAGGCGACGAUACAUAGCCGACCUGAGAGGGUGAUCGGCCACACUGGGACUGAGACACGGCCCAGACUCCUACGGGAGGCAGCAGUAGGGAAUCUUCGGCAAUGGACGAAAGUCUGACCGAGCAACGCCGCGGGAGUGAAGAAGGUUUUCGGAUCGUAAAGCUCUGUUGUAAGAGAAGAACGGGUGUGAGAGUGGAAAGUUCACACUGUGACGGUAUCUUACCAGAAAGGGACGGCUAACUACGUG
rnacentral:rRNA from 1 species